CUUAUGUGUAGUGCUGGGCGGUAUACCACUUCACCUGUGGGUCAAUUAACAAUAUAUAAUAAGUAAGCAGGAGCCAUUAAUGCUGACCUGUGAAAAUAGGGCAACCGGUCUACACUACAGACUGUCUGCACAACAAACAAACACAUACACACACAAACACGUGUGUGUUUGCAUCAGUGAUGCUGACCGUAAAGAAAAAACAGUAACAAAUGUUCAUGCAAGAAAAGGUGUUUUAAAUUAAAUUAAAAUGAAGGUCUGACGACACAGUAGUAGCAGCAGCACUAAGCUCAGCAAAAUGAUCAUUACUUUAAUAGGUUUCUGGCCUUAAUUAAUAAAAUACAAAAUCAAUAUUGUUUUUUUACUUGUUUGUUUGUUUUCUUUGAAAAAAAAAA